AACGAACGCUGGCGGCAUGCCUAACACAUGCAAGUCGAACGAGACCUUCGGGUCUAGUGGCGCACGGGUGCGUAACGCGUGGGAACCUGCCCUUAGGUUCGGAAUAAAUCCCCGAAAGGGGUGCUAAUACCGGAUAAUGUCUUCGGACCAAGGAUUUAUCGCCUUUGGAUGGGGCCGCGUUGGAUUAGCUAGUUGGUAGGGUAAAAGCCUACCAAGGCGACGAUCCAUAGCUGGUCUGAGAGGAUGAUCAGCCACACUGGGACUGAGACACGGCCCAGACUCCUACGGGAGGCAGCAGUGGGGAAUAUUGGACAAUGGGCGAAAGCCUGAUCCAUCAAUGCCGCGUGAGUGAUGAAGGCCUUAGGGUUGUAAAGCUCUUUUACCCGGGAUGAUAAUGACAGUACCGGGAGAAUAAGCUCCGGCUAACUCCGU
rnacentral:rRNA from 1 species